rfam:Mesocricetus auratus contig160283, whole genome shotgun sequence.
GGGUCUUUAGUGGCAAAACAAUGUUAAAAAGAGAAGUGAUGAUAUAAAAACCAUGAUUUAAAGGAUUAUACUGAAGCCC